GACGUAGGAUGCAAGCGUUGUCCGGAUUCAUUGGGCGUAAAGAGUUCGUAGGUGGUUUGUUAAGUCUGAUGUUAAAGACCAGGGCUCAACCCCGGGAGUGCAUCGGAUACUGGCAGACUAGAGUACAGUAGGGGCGAGUGGAAUUUCCAGUGUAGCGGUGAAAUGCGUAGAUAUUGGGAAGAACACCAGUGGCGUAAGCGGCUCGCUGGGCUGUAACUGACACUGAGGAACGAAAGCCAGGGGAGCAAAUGGG
rnacentral:rRNA from 1 species